GGUUGUAAUUCAGUGGUAGAGUGCUUGCCUCACAUGCAUGAGGCCCUGGGUUCAGUCCCCAGAACCA
rnacentral:tRNA from 1 species